UAACGUGGAUUACGAGAAUGUCAAACUUUACUUAGGCGUGCAUGAGUUUUGUUCCGUUCAAAUUAGUCAAAUGUGAAUUACUACCGUUCAAAAAUGAAAAACGAAAAAUUGCAUUUGUACAUUAAUCUUAUAUUAAGUAAUGGUCUGAUGAACAUUCACGAGUUUGUAGUGGGUUCAGCAAUGAUGUUUUCCAGUAUUCUUUUGCCACAACUCCUAGACCCUUCGUCAACAAUACAUAUCACCAGCGAAGAAGAAUCGUGGAUAGCUAGCGUCCCUAACCUAGUCUGCCCGAUUGGUUUGAUUAUAACCGGCAUACUAGCAGAUAAAAUUGGCAGGAAAAAGAGUCUGCAGAUCACUUACAUUCCAUUGUUUUUAAGUUGGGGACUUCUUGCUGUCGCUCAAAGUGCCAAUGCCAUUUUAAUCGCUAGGGCAAUUUUAGGAUAUUCCAUAGGAACGGGCAUAGUGAUAUUCCUGUAUGCUGCCGAAACUGUUCCAGCUAUCAAUAGACCUCUGUUUCUGAGUAUGAUUACUGUGUCAGCCGGGGCCAGCAUGAUGCUCGUCUCCGUGUUGAGUAUUUUUUACAACUGGCGAACGUUGGCUAUAGGAUAUUGUGUGUUGAGUGCUAUCGGCGGCUUGUCACUGUAUCUUAUACCUGAUCCACCUAUUUGGCUGAGGUCUGUAGGUCGACACGAAGAGGCGGUCCGUGCAGAACAGUGGUUCGGCAUGCCUGAGGUAUCUGUCACAGCUGUAGCUCCAGUCUCUGAAAAGUUGCCGAAUAAAGCCAAAUAUGCAGUAUUCAUAAGUCGGUCUGUUUGGAUACCAACGGUACACAGUAUCAUUCUGGUGGUGUGUCAACAGUUCUCCGGCAUCUAUAUUAUGUUUAACUACUCUGUGAAUACUUUGCUUAGUUGUGGUGUACAGUACGACGCUUUGAUCGUGACAGCCGCUCUUUUCGGUGCUCGCAUCGUAGGCAGCCUCGCGUAUUCUUCAUUGUACCUUGUCAAAAGAAGAACACUGAUUACCGUAUCUAGUCUGGGCAUGUUUAGCAGCCUAGCGACCGUCGUGGGUUACUUGCACGCCUACCAAGACGUCUCAAAUCCACCGUACGGAUAUGUGAUGGUCGUUGCCUUUUUGAUUUACGCUUUCGCUUCGAUGUUGGCUAUGACUCCGAUACCCUGGUCCAUUCAAAGCGAAAUAUUCCCCACUUCCGUUAAGGGUAUUAUGAGCGGAGUGAAUCAUUCUUGCGCGUUCUUCUUAAUGUUUGUGAUUUUAAAAAUAUAUCCGUCAAUGGUGAUACAUCUCGGGAUACAAACAGUGCUGUCACUAUACGCUGGAGUAUGCCUUAUAACAGCCAUGUACGGUGCAUUUUUAUUUCCAGAGACCCAAGGAAAAUCUCUAGACGAAAUUUUGGCACACUUCGAUCCAAAACUUAAAAACAACGUUUCAAAUAUUGACUCGGGAAAUACCUUGUAGUAUUGACAAAACCGAAAAUGAUCGUAUAACAUAUAUUAAGUAACAGUCUGAUGGAUAUUCAUGAGUUGGUCGCCGGCUCCACAGCCAUGUUUUCAAGUAUUCUUUUGCCACAGCUUCAAAGUCCUUCGUCAGUGAUAAAAAUCGAUAGCGAACAAGCUUCAUGGAUAGCGUGGUAAACUUAAUGUGUCCAAUUGGAAUGAUUGUAACCGGCAUAACAGCAGAUAAAAUUGGAAGAAGAAAAAGUUUGCAAAUUACCUACAAUCCGUUAUUA